GCGGGUAUAGUUUAGUGGUAGAACAUCAGCUUCCCAAGCUGAAUAUGAGGGUUCGAUUCCCUUUACCCGCUCCA
rnacentral:tRNA from 1 species